GUGAGGAAUUUUCCGCAAUGGGCGAAAGCCUGACGGAGCAAUGCCGCGUGAAGGAUGAAGGCCUAUGGGUUGUAAACUUCUUUUCUCAGAAAAGAAUUAUGACGGUAUCUGAGGAAUAAGCAUCGGCUAACUCUGUGCCAGCAGCCGCGGUAAGACAGAGGAUGCAAGCGUUAUCCGGAAUGAUUGGGCGUAAAGCGUCUGUAGGUUGUUUAAAAAGUAUUCUGUCAAAGAUUAGGGCUUAACCCUAGAUAGGCAGAAUAAACUUUUAAGCUAGAGUUUGGUAGAGGCAGAGGGAAUUCCCGGUGGAGCGGUGAAAUGCGUAGAUAUCGGGAGGAACACCAAAGGCGAAGGCACUCUGCUGGGCCAAUACUAACACUGAGAGACGAAAGCGAGGGGAGCAAAUGGGAUUAGAUACCGUGUAGUCC
rnacentral:rRNA from 1 species